AGGGCCAUAGUUGUAUAAGAGAUAGACAAUGUUUUACAUUUAAUGUUUUUACAUUUUGGUACUUGCAUUUCCCUAUAUCUGUAAUCUUGGGCUAUGCCCAACUUCCUUUUUCAGUAAUGAAAGCUUAAAUUUCUCAAAAAAAAAUGACAGGAGUUUUUGUGAGAAAAGUUACUGCUCUGAUUGUGUCAUAGAUGUUGAUGGUUACCAGAUAAUACUUUUUCUUAGUAUGAUGGAGAA
rnacentral:lncRNA from 1 species